rnacentral:rRNA from 1 species
ACACUCCUACGGGAGGCAGCAGUGGGGAAUUUUGGACAAUGGGCGAAAGCCUGAUCCAGCCAUGCCGCGUGCAGGAUGAAGGCCUUCGGGUUGUAAACUGCUUUUGUACGGAACGAAACGGCCUUUUCUAAUAAAGAGGGCUAAUGACGGUACCGUAAGAAUAAGCACCGGCUAACUACGUGCCAGCAGCCGCGGUAAUACGUAGGGUGCAAGCGUUAAUCGGAAUUACUGGGCGUAAAGCGUGCGCAGGCGGUUAUGUAAGACAGUUGUGAAAUCCCCGGGCUCAACCUGGGAACUGCAUCUGUGACUGCAUAGCUAGAGUACGGUAGAGGGGGAUGGAAUUCCGCGUGUAGCAGUGAAAUGCGUAGAUAUGCGGAGGAACACCGAUGGCGAAGGCAAUCCCCUGGACCUGUACUGACGCUCAUGCACGAAAGCGUGGGGAGCAACCAGGAUUAGAUACCCUAGUAGUCCCAUGAU